UACGGCUCAGUAACACGUGGUUAACCUGCCCUAAGGUGGUGAAUACUCCCGGGAAACUGGGGCUAAUGCACCAUAGUGGAUACUUGCUGGAAUGCUGUAUCCUCGAAAGAUCCGUCGCCUUAGGAUGGGACUGCGUCCGAUUAGGUAGUUGGUGGGGUAACGGCCCACCAAGCCUGUCAUCGGUACGGGUUGUGGGAGCAAGAUCCCGGAGAUGGAUUCUGAGACAUGAAUCCAGGCCCUACGGGGCGCAGCAGGCGCGCAAACUUUACAAUGCGAGCAAUCGUGAUAAGGAAACCCUGAGUGCCUGUCGAUGCAGGCUGUUCAUCUGUUUAAAUUGCAGGUGAAGAAAGGGCAGGGCAAGACCGGUGCCAGCCGCCGCGGUAAUACCGGCUGCUCGAGUGAUGGCCACUAUUACUGGGUUUAAAGCGUCCGUAGCUUGACUGAUAGGUCUCUUGGGAAAUCUUAACGCUUAACGUUAAGGCGUCUAAGAGAUACCGUCAGUYUUGGAACUGGGAGAGGUAAACCGUACUUCGGGGGUAGGAGUGAAAUCUUGUAAUCCUCGAGGGACGACCUAUGGCGAAGGCAGUUUACCAGAACAGCUUCGACAGUGAGGGACGAAAGCUGGGGGAGCAAACGGGAUUAGAUACCCCGGUAGUCCCAGCCGUAAACAAUGUGCCCCUUUAUCGGUAACCAYKCUGUUACUGAUGCGCCGCAUGAGAAAUYGUGAAACGYUACCAC
rnacentral:rRNA from 1 species